GGAUGAUAUAAUGCAAGCACAAUUUUUAUUUGUUUCUACUAAUAUGAAAGAAAAUUUCUACUAACAGAUAUGUACUACAACUGUGUAAUGCUAGAAUAAAGACUAAUCAGUUUUGAUACUCUAUUUAGAUUUUUCUUUUGGUUUUCUGGGUUGUAAUCACAAUGUUCAUACAUACUGAAUCUUGAUUAGAUUUUCCAAUGUUUUGGUAAGCCUUUUGUUCUGGAUCUUGAUUGUUUUGUAGUGGUACUGGUUAUUAGGCACUUCUACCAACUACACAUUUUUUUCCCAUUUUAAUAUGUGGGCAUGCCACAAUGGAGCUGGGUUUAUUAGUAGGUAUCUACUUCUACAACUUUUCGCUGGAAUAUUGUUGAUUGACAUUGCCACGUGUAUCUUACAGCUAAUCGGGAUUUUUUUUACGCUUGUCGUGUCAUGUCUUUGCUCAUUGUCUAUAUAUUUGUAACUCCUCGCUACAUAUAAUCCAAACUGUACCGGCUAAAGUGACUUUGAUAGUGUGCCUUUUUGCUAUGCUAUUUGUUAAUAUGUAGACCAACUGGGCCCUAAUUAUGCAAAAGUGCUACUCCUGGUGCCUGGUACAUUAGAGACUGGCAAAACGUGUUCGUUCAUCUCGCAAGAUACAUGCCUGGCCAAAAUGAGAAGUGGUAUCUAGGUAAGCUGCAGCCAAUACCAUCUUUGACUUCAUAUAUCAGUACAUAUUGGAUCAUAAGGUUUAGGUAACCAAACAUGGACUGCAUGGCUUUUUAUUUGAAUCCACAAUGAUGUGGACA